rnacentral:rRNA from 1 species
UACGAAGGGGGCUAGCGUUGUUCGGAAUUACUGGGCGUAAAGCGUGUGUAGGUGGUUGCCAUAGUCAGGUGUGAAAGCCUUGAGCUCAACUCAAGAAAUGCACUUGAUACUGGGCAGCUAGAGGACCGGAGAGGAUAGUGGAAUUCCCAGUGUAGUGGUGAAAUACGUAGAGAUUGGGAAGAACACCAGUGGCGAAGGCGGCUAUCUGGACGGUUUCUGACACUAAGACACGAAAGCGUGGGGAGCAAACAGG